rnacentral:lncRNA from 1 species
AGCACAAAGAUGAUAGAUGAGAGAUAUGGGACGAGGAUUCAUGCCGCCGAGCAGAGCCAACAUGCCUGAAGUGCGAAACCCGCCACUAGAGAGGUAAUCAUAGCAACCUUGUCUCAUUGCCUCUUUUGCUUCGUCCGUCGAUGCCGUUAGCACUUGAGAAAAUGCAUUUCCUAGUGUGUUAACCGUCGCUGACAUUGGCUUCACCAUGAUAAAAUAAUGUAUUUUUAAUAUCAAAACUUAGCUUUUAAGGUUGUUAAUAUGUUUUGAAUUAGUAUGUGACAUAUGCUCACCUUGCGGAUAUCAUAAAAGGACUUGAUAACUUCUGAGACUUUGUUUGCAUCGCCGAGGUUUCUUAAUGGCUGGAGAAGACCGCGUAGAAUGAGAACGUCGGACAGUACAACCAUCAUUCCAGAUGCGAUUGCUGGAUGACGCAUGUUGAAUGCAUCUCCCAAUACAAACACUCCUUUCUUCUCGCUCAAAGUAGCUGACAUGCUCUUUGUUGGCACAGCUUUUAUGUUUGCUCCUUCAUCGAUCCCUUUCAAAAGUAUUUUGCGGAGUUUUGAAGGUACCUAGAAAAUAAUUGUUAAAAGAUUUUAGAUGUAUAUUAUCUUCAUGGACUUCUUUAAAAUGUUAGAAUAUGUGACUUUAUCUAUGUACAUCAACCUAUGUUUGAAAAACAAAAAUUAUUAUUGAAUUAAGAUUAAUCAGUCCGAUGUGUACCUGAGGAGCAAUAGUGUUCCUCACGAAGGUAGCCAUGUCCCCCUUUGAAAUAGAAGGAACAUUGUCGGGGAAAAGCUCAAAAACACAACGAACGUCGGUGCUGCCGACAUGAUACAACAUGGUGAAGGAGGGUUUAGACAUUAUCAAGUUUACUUUGUCGGGCUCUUCAAGCUGACAGUUCUUUAUAAUGUAACCAACUUGGUAUGAGCGAACCUCCGCCUACAUCAAGUUAGUAUAUUGAUGCUUAUUAACUAAUAGUAACAUCACUUCUAAGUGUGUAUAUAUAUAGAGAGACUUUACAAAUAAAAGAGCAUAUAUACUCACAUUGUUGUCGUUAAGUGACCGACGAAGAUUUGAGUAGCAGCCGUCGCAUACCACAGUCAGAGGUGCAAGGGCUGUUGUUUCUUCGCCUGCGCUAUUUUUGUAUGUCACUCCUUUGAUAACUCCUUUGUCUUCUAUCAAAGACUUCACCGUUCCUUCUUCGAGCCGCACACUACCAAUCAAUCAAUGUUUGGUGUAAAGAUUAACCAUUAAUUGUUAUUGCCGAGCUUACUUGUUUGUUGUGUCUAAUGUUCAAAAGUUUAUAAAGUGUUUAACUGAAAGAUUUUUUUCUUCUUAUUAUUGCUUCAUGUUUAUUCAUCAAUAUGCCAUUUUUCCCGACCAAAAAAUUAUAUUUAUCCAUCAAUAUAUUAAAAAGUAUCAUGUAAAUAUAUCUAUUUAAUAAUAGAUUUUUUUCAUUAUUUAAUAAAUAUAUUUAUGGGGUCGACCAAAAUUAAUCAUUUCGUUGCAAAUAUUAGUAUUUAGAAAGAAAAAAACAUUAUCCUGAAAACUCAGUUGGAUUUCACAAAAUUUAUAGAAAAUAAUAUAUCUUAUCAAAACUUAUUAACCAUCAUCUCUAUGUUAAUUGGCAAUAAAGUUACUAUUUUAUCGUAUAAUCAGUUACCAAUAUAGAUAUAAUUUCUACAUAUGUAUAUCAAAUUCCUUAUUUCCCAUCUCAAACAAAUAGAUAACAUUAAAUAUAGAGUGGUUUCAUGUUUUUAAUUUUAUAAUUCAGGGACGUACUUGGGAAGAGAAGAAGCCUUUUGGCGCAGUCGUUGGACGAAUCGGCCAUUGUAGAAAGAUCGAGCAGAAGGUUCAUAAAGAAAGUUGUUGUUUUCCACCGGAUAAGAUGCGUUCGUUUCUUUUCCAUCCUUAUAAAGUGUCAUGCCCGUAGCAAUCUGUGCAUCUAUUCCCUCCAAACAAUCUAUACAUAUAUAGACGCACACAAUUUGAUCAUUAUACUAAAACACAAUCUGAAAUUUUAAAAAAAAAAUCAAUUAGAUAAAUGAACUACUGAAACAUAGACAAACCUUCAAGGCCAAGUUUAGAAAGCAUGAGUCGUCCUCCUGGUUGCAUAUAUUCACCCAUCAUUCUCUCUGGUUCUCUCAUGUCCCUCUCUAUUACAUGUACUCGACGCCCGUCCUAUAUAUAAUCGAAAAUUAUUUAGCGUUAUGUAAUAGACUAUAAACUUCCAACUUAAAACCAAUUGACCAUUAGUAGUUAGAAAUAUAUCUUAUAUACUAGUCAUGAUGCAGUCCAACUUUCGAUGUAGGAUAUUUGUGUUUUAUGUCCGAACCCGAAAUUAUUGCAAUAGAAAUAUAUUAGACAAAACAACAACAAUCAUAUAUUGUGUAUGUACAGUUAUUAUCUUAGCAUUCAUACAAAAAAAACGACAAUCAAGUUAAUUACCUUUGCAAGAGCAUAUGCAAGAGCCGAGCCGCCAACUCCAGCCCCAACGAUGAUAACAUCAGUAGCACCGUCCUUACGCUCUUCCACCACCGUCUCGGCUAACUUCGUCCCCUUGUUUUUCCUGUUUGUGAAGUAGAAGACGGUCCAUGUCAGCACGAAGGCGAGUAGCGUCCAUACAGAAACGUGUGUGAAAGCCAUGUCCAUAUCUAUUAGUUCUCAAUAUGUGGUUUAUGAGAAAAUUGAGAAAAUACGAGUAACAUAUAUAUAAUGCAAAGAUAUGUGAGUUUGAACGUAGUAUCACCACAUGCUAAAAUAUCAUAAUAAUUUUAGAAAGCAAUAAAUUGAUCUUUUAUGUUGUCCACAUAUUUCGUUAUCAUUUACGAGCGACGACAUACACAAAGUUACAAACGAUAUUUCAUUGUUAGAUACAGACAAAAUAUAUAGUACUGUCCACCCAAGUUCAUGAAUAUGUUUCUAUUUAGAAACAAUAAAAUAAAAAGUACUACUCAAAUUAUUUAUACUCUUAAAUGAUGAUUUAAGUUAGUCUAUAGGCGUUAAGCUAAAGCUGGCCACUGAUUUUGAUUAUGGAGACGUACCGAAUUGGAUUCUUAGGUACGUAUCUAUCUAAUCUAACUCUACUUAUACUUCCAUUUUAAAUAUAUUCAACCAAUUUAUUAUGCGACACAAAUCAAUUUUUCAUUACUGACGCUGCUUUUUUUUCUUUUUCUUUUACCUCUAAAAAAGAUGAUGUUUACAGAGAACCUAGAGGUUACGUACAUACUUAUAUGAUUAUGACUUUUAUGGGGUCAAUAGUUUUAAACACGAAUUUAAAGAUAGAAGACAACUUAGAAAAUACACAAGUUAUUAUUUUUUAAUAUAGUUUUAUCAAUAUACGAAAAUGACAAUGAAUACCUAUUCGAGUGACCAGCGAAAUGCUACGUACUACAAUUAGGUAACUAACGUUUCUCUUUAACCAAAAAAGAAAAAAACAAAAAAAACCCAACGUUUCUCAUGCUUAUAUAAUAACCACAAAAAACAUGUUGCUUGACGUCGAUACUAAACCGAUUUAAACCAAACAGCAUCACUUUCAAAACCGUCGUAAUAAGGUGUGAGCGACGUUUACUUUAUACAUCUUUUCAAAAAUCAUCAAAGGAAAAAGUAUAAAUAGUGAAAUGAUCAGUCUAGAUGAAAUUGCAAUCGGUUUACAAAACGACGGCAAAUUUCAUGUUUUCAAAGAAAUUUAAAUCGGUUAAUUUAGAUUGUGACGUAGAUAUAUAUAAACGUAUCUCAGCGUAUUCUUUUGUAGUAUAACGAUAAUUAAUAAAGUUCAUAAUACUUCAUAAUCACAUUCCCAAAUAGAAAAAUUAAUAACUCAAAUAACACUAACGCUGGGCUUUGUCUUUCUCUGCAUUGGACCUAAACGAUAGUUUAAGGCCAGUGAAAUAUGUCAUUCAUCGUUAAACGCUGCAUCUUAUUUUUGUUUAUAUAUAGAUGAAUAGAGACGAGCUAGACUUAACUCUUUUUGGCUGCUUUAUAUGAAUAUGACAACAUAAACCUCACCACAUCAGUUCAUCAAUUAUUGAGACAGCUACAGUAAGACUUCAUGCCUUCAUGGAGACAAUAUUUUUAGAUACAAGCAAUAUAUGCUAUAUAAUUUCAACAAAUUAGUAAAAUUUUAAAAAGAUUUGUGCUCCAUAUAUGGUAUAUUUAUUAGCUGCUUAGAGGAUCGGUGUUUAAAGAGCGGUGGUUGCCAUAUAGCUUUUGCGAUAUGCUGCUGCGCUUGCUGGAAAUAAUAUUGGGCUAACUCCCUCAGCCUUGAGAUGAGGAACCAACAUUUUCAUAGACAACUAGUGAUUCACAUAAAACAUACAAUUGAAAACGAAAUGAUCAGUGUCAAAAGUAUAAUAAAGAUAGCCAAAAAGAGCGUCAAAAUUUUGUUUUCGAAAUAUAAGAGAGCUAUAGAUAUAAUGACUUACACCAAAAAGCCUGAGGCUAUGCCAAAUGCGAAGGGGAUAAGGAAAUGGAGAAAGAAGAUGGCCAAUGGAAUGUAGAGUGAUAGCACAAAGAUGAUAGAUGAGAGAUAGUGGACGAGGAUUCAUGCCGCCGAGUAGAGCCAUCAGACCUGACGUGCGAAACCCGCCACUAGUGAGGUAAUCAUAGCAACCUUGUCUCAUUGCCUCUUUUGCUUCGUCCGUCGAUGCAACUAGUGCUUGAGAAAAUGCGUUUCCUAAUAUGUUCACUGUCGCUGACAUUGGCUUCACCAUACAAAAACAUUCAUUUUUAAGUAUAAUUAUGUGAAGUUGGUAACAAGUUUAGAAAUUUGGAAUGUUCAUAUAUUAAUUAGUAUGUGACGUAGGCUCAC